rnacentral:lncRNA from 1 species
CUUAUUCUUCUUCUUCUUCUUCUUCUUCUUCUUCUUCUUCUUCUUCUUCUUCUUCUUCUUCUUCUUCUUCUUCUUCUUCUUCUUCUUCUUCUUAAUUUUGUAAUUUUUUUACACUCUUAUACCUUCUAACUCUCUCUAUCUCUCACGAUCCACUGAUCUCAUCUCUUAUAUUUGUCUUUUCUUUUUUUUCACUCUUUUGUUCCCUGUAAAAAAAAAAAGCUUCUCUUCUUCUUUUUUAAUGUCACUGUAAAACCCUAAAAGAUAAUCUCCAAUUUUGAAAGUUACUGCUCCAAGCUCCAAGGAUUUCUUUUUCUUUUAACUUUCUCGCGCGAAUUUCACCGAUGCUAUAAUGCAUUUGGGUAUUCUCUGUUUCUUCUUAUUUUUACUGGGUUCUGCAAUAUAAAUUUUUUCUGGUUUGAUUUUAAUUUUCAAAAAAGAACUCAUCAAAGUUGCUGAUUUUAUUUAAUUCAGAGUUAUUUUUGUUUUAUCUCUUCUCUAAAAUUUUGUACAGAAAUUAUGUUUCUUCUCUGAAAUUCUGGAUCUAAAUUAUAUCAUUCUCUAUCCUCCUUAAGUCAUGAAUAAUAAAUCCAAAAAAUCAGUACAUAGUAUAUUUCAUUUACGUGGUACGAUUAAACAUAAUGAAUAUUUUCGGUAACAGAAAAUGUAUCAUCAUUAAAAAGGAUAUAAAAAUUUAUAAGAAUAUAUUUAUUUUGCAAUUUGUAAAAAAUUAUAUAUAAUCUUUCAUUUAAGAAACGUAACAAUCUAUAGUUACUUUCAUCUAAAAGCUUCGCUCUACACGGCC